rnacentral:ribozyme from 1 species
AGCCCAGCAACUCCUAUCUUCACCUCCUCGUGGUACUGGCCGGGGUACGAGUAACCUUAGGGAAGA